GAGGCUGCAAGGCUAUUCACUGCUAUUGCACCUGGCCAACAAAUGAUUCCCAUAAGCCACAGCAACGCGUGGCCAGGCAAAGCUAGUACUCCAUAAAUCCUUUUAAAUUCAAUGGGACACAUACUCAGGUAAAUUGGUAAAAGGAUUUCUGUUAUUUCCUACCAAAAAUCAUUGCUACAUCUGGUUGAAGAACACUCCUAUUAAUAUUUUUACCACUAAGUACCAAGUAGACAGAAUUCAGUAUCUUUUAUGGUUUCAGGGCUUUUUGUGACAUAUGCACAACACUGUCAGGAUGACUAAUGAAUUUCUGUUGGAUAAAUGCUCAAUUUCUUUGCCCAACUCCUACAAAUGUACAUUGGCUUAUUGCAGAUCUUUGAGGCAUAUGACACAUCUUGUUCAUUCCUAGUCAGGAUGAGGGUCUGCCUCCAGGGGCAAAUCAAGAAUGGGCAACUUGGAAGUCCCUAAACAGACUCAGAAGCGGAGUGGGCAGAUCAAAAGACAACUUGGCAAGGUGGCACUACCUGGAAGAAUCCUCCACCUUGUGUGACUGUGGAGCAGAACAAACAACUCCGCAUAGGAAAAUGAAAGGUGUGACAACUGCUACAAAAGACAGCACCUGAAAUUUCUGGAAUAAUUACUUUUGAGAAAAUUCCAGAAGCAAGCAAAACAGAGCUGCAUGGUUCUUCUCAGUUACAAAAUCGAAUAUGCUCUUUUAGUUUCUCUGACACUGUUUGUUGCAAGUCCAGCAACACCAUAAAACAGUCAUAUGCUUGUUUACUGAAAGAAACAAGCACAUUAUUUAUGUGUGCAACAUUAUAUACAUAGAACAUAAAGAAAUUUCAUUUUUGUUACCUCUGCAGUUCCAGCAAUCUUGAGUCGAGCUGUUCGGAGGUUGUUGUUUUCCAUGACAAAGUUAUUUUGAGUAUAUGUUUUUCCUUUGGGAUCUCUCAGAAUAAUUCCUGGUGGAGUCAUGCUCACAUUCCAUGUAACUAAGAAGAAAGUGUCAUUUCCCACAGUUCUAUCAAUGGAUACAGUACCAUCCAGCCAAUCAAAACGACGGACACUCCUUCCUUCACUUUCAAGCUGUUGGGAAAUUUUAAAAGAAUACUUUGAUGCUGAAGAAAAAUACAUAAAUAUCCUAUUAAAAAGAACUAAAUUUAAAACAACUAAUUUUAGCACUGUUGUAAAUACAGUAGAGUCUCACUUAUCCAACAUAAACGGGCCGUCAGAACAUUGGAUAAGUGAAAAUGUUGGAUAAUAAGGAGGGAUUAAGGAAAAGCCUAUUAAACAUCAAAUUACAUUAUGAUUUUACAAAUUAAGCACCAAAGCACCAUGUUUUACAAGAAAUUGACAGAAAAAGCAGUUCAAUAUACAGUAACGUUAUGUAGUAAUGACUGUAUUUAUGAAUUUAGCACCAAGACAUCACAAUGUAUUGAAAACAUUGACUAUAAAAACAUUGACUACUAAAAAAUUGACCUCAAAUAAAGAUAGAAUUGCAUAUAAUGAACUUACAGUAACAACAUUGUUGGAAGUUAAAUCUGUAAAAAUUUCAGUCCUUGCUGCCUAGAGAAACAACUGUGGAUCUGGGAGGGAGGCAGACUGCAUUGGGUAAUCCAGAAUGUUGGAUAAGCAAAAGUUGGAUAAGCAAGACUCUACUGUAGAUUUAUCUUCUGUUGUGCUGAUAAAACUGCUCCAAAUAUAUCGUACUUCAACAUAUGUUUCCCAGAAUCCCUUACCAGCCAAUAUUUCUUGUUAUUAUGUAAGUGUUUUAUUAGUUUUUAUCUGGGAUGUGAAGAUCUGUCCAUUUCAUUUUUGUAUUUUUUCCCCGGAGAAUUGUCCCAGUGUUCUCACCCUAUUCCAAUUUUCAUCCUAGGUUGGUGGACCUCACUCCCCACACUCCAGGCAUUUGAGUAUCUCUGUUUGUACAUCUCUUUACUAAUGCAUUAAAAAAAUAACCCUUGACUAUGAGUUUGUACAUAUUUGCCAAUAUGCAUUAUUCAUUUUUAAUUAUAAAUACUGUAUUUUUAAAAUGUAUGCAUGCUUUUUUGCAUUUUUUUCUUUACAGAUCACAUGCUGUGGUAAUGUACGAGCUUAUUUUUUAGAUAAGAUGUUCUUUUGUAACUCACAUUAUUGUAUUUUGUAGAAAAUGUGGGGUUUUUUUUAGAGAAAUGCAAACUUAGCUUUCCCAUCCCUAGUUCCUGAUAGAGUUGUAAUUGUUAACCUGUCAUGUGCAAUUAUAAAUAAAUAAAAUAUGGACUAGUGAGAGAAGGAAA